AGGUAUUACUGUGUACCCCAAGCUGCCCUUGAACCAGUUGCUCUCCCCGCUGUUGGAUAGGAAGAUUGUCUCUUGCUCGAUCCAAAACCUCACCAUUAUCUUUCACAGGCCAGCAACUUCAGUCUCAUUCUCCCUCCGGUUUUAUUAUUAAAACAUUUGGAUGAAAAGAACACUGUGUUUCCCUAAGACUUCAUCUGUCCUUCGUAUCAGUUGCUUUUGAAAGAGUUACAGCCUUCCUGGCUUUGCUCCAUAAUAAUUGCCACAGCAACUACCUUCAGUGCCACAGAGCAAGGAUUCAAAUUGUUGUUAGUCAUAGACCAACUCUGGGGCAUACAGCUGCUCAUUUUUUUUUCACAUAUCACACACAAGAAGAAAGACCAAUUUGAAAAUUAUUAUGUAUUUUGUAAAUAAUCGUAAAAGCAUUACCGCCUGCUUUAUUAGAGGCCUUUGUGCUUUGUAAGCUAAACACAGCUGAUCUCCGGUGGCUACCAUUGACUGGCUUCUUCAGAUGUGCCAGGAACUUUGUAAGACUCUGGAGUCGAAGAUAAAUAAUGCACACAAUCCCACCCCUGAAUUCAGUGUCUAAUGGCAUCUUUAUGAUUUUGUUUUUCUUUUCAUUUUUUUCACUCAUGCUUUAGCACUACAACAAUAACUAGAUUUUGCUAGGUUUCCAAUACAAUGCAGCUCUGAGUUUUACUUUGAUGUAAUUAGACUUGGACUUAGUUUAUUAUAUUUCUUAUAUUCACUGGUGUGGGGUGAUGGUUUGUUUUUUUCCCCGACAUUCAGGAAGCUCAGAGGUUCAGUGCAGUUAGAGUGGGAACAAAAGUCUCACAGCUGUAAUUCAAUGUCUGUAUUUGCUAAUUCCACAGACAGAAAAAUACGUUCUUCAGACGUCUACGCUUUUGGAGCCGUCUCAGAGAAAUUCAUUUUCUCCCCUCAUGUUCUGUUACUUGAGUGUAUGUAAAAUGAGAUUAGGGGCGAGCAUUUGUUCUUUAUUGUGUUUCGCUGGCAGAAUUGCUGCUGUUCUGUAGGCUGCGGGAGCGGUUAAGAACCAUAGCAUUGUAUGCUACAAUUUCAACCAAAUUUCCCCAGCUGGAUGAAAUAGAGGACUGCAGAGAGAAAUGUAGAAACUUCCAGUAUCAUACAGAUUCUUUUAUGUUCUAUCCACUCUCAAAAUUAUUGAGUAAGGUGUUCUGCUUGUUUUUAAUAUCUAUCUUGGAAUAGGGGAAUCUUUCAGAGCAUACCAUCUUUAUUCGUUUCUUUGCCCAUAUCGCUAUUUAUAAGAAAGGUUAGCUCCCUUGAAUUUUGUUUGCUAGCCUGCUGUAUUUUCAACAUGCAUCUUCAAUUUAGACUUAGCCAUAGUCAGUACAAUAAAAUCAGACUAUACUAAUCUAAAUAUGUUUAAAAACAUAUGUUUGAAGUAAAGUGAGAUUUUUUUUCAGAAUAAAAUUGCCAUUUGCUUUUAGUUAUUCACAUGAUAAUUGGAAUUUUUAUUUUGUAAAAGGAAUUCAUUUUGCAAUGACAUUAAGAUGAUUAAACAGACAUAUAUACAUUUUCUAGGAAGUUUAUGACUAUUCGGAUAUGUCCACCUUUGGAUCAGAAAAGAAGUGUUUUAAUCAUUUAUCUUUUCUUGGCCUUGUUCCCUUUGUACAAAUUUUAGAGACAAGUUUAGCCAUUGAAUGACUUUCAGUGAUAUUCAUAAUAAUUGAUCUUGAAAAGUUGAUAGCUGACAGAAUGGAUGAGAAGAUAUUCUGAAGCCUCUUCUAGUCCCUCACUGUCAGGCUCACAAUAUUUAAAUAUAUUUUAUAAUUUUUAAUGAAUGAAAAUCAUAUACAUUUAUAGGUAUUUUAUGUUUAGCUUCCCUGAGGUAGCUAUUUCAUAGAUGGCAGAGAUAUAUGAUAGGCUGUAUUUCUAUGUAGGACUUUACCAUGAAAGUGAAGGAAUAAAGACUUACUAAGUGAAAAGAUAAAUUUUGUAGUGACACAUGCCAGUACUCAGGAGCCAAGCUUGGAGAAUACUCAUCAUUUUGAAAUCAACAAGAACUACAGUGUGACACAGGG
rnacentral:lncRNA from 1 species